rnacentral:rRNA from 1 species
UAGCAGUGAGGAAUAUUGGUCAAUAGCCAGACGGCUGAACCAGCAUCUGGAAGAAUGAAUAACGAAUAAGUCGUAUAAAGUUCUAGAUAGAAAACAGAUAAUGACAACUAUCUAUCUAUUAGUCUUGACCAAAUUACGUGCCAGCAGUCGCGGCAACACGCAGAAGACAAGUGUUAUUCAUCGUUAUUCGGUUUAAAGGGUACCUAGACGGGAAAUCAAGCCAUAGUAGGGACUAAUUUUCUAGAGUUUUAUGGGAGAAAGUCGAAUAUCUAGAGUAGAGAUACAAUAUGUUAAUACUGGGUAGACGGUUAACGGCGUAGGCAACUUUCUAUGUAAAAACUGACGUUGAGGGACGAAGCCCUGGGUAACGAGAAGGAUUAGAUACCCCAGUAGUCCAGGGAGACAAUGAUGAGUGCCAUAGGCUAGAAAUAUUAGUCUAUAAAUGAAAGUGUAAGCAUUCCACCUCAAGACUAAAGCGGCAACGCCCAAAUUGAAAUCAUUAGACCGUUCCUGAAACCAGUAGUGAAGUAUGUUAUUUAAUUCGAUGAUCCGCGAAUAACCUUACCACGUUUUGAAUACUACUGGUGCACGACCAAUUUAAUUUUAAUUAAAUUUAAUAGUAGUACAAGCGCUGCACGGCUGUCUUUAGUUGAUGUCGUGAGAUUUUGGUUAACUCCUCUAAUUAACGAAAACCCUUGUUUUAUAUGUAUAUAUAAAACAGUUCUCCACUAUAUUGGAUAAGAUAAUAGGGAUUAAGGCAAGUCAUCAUGGCCUUAAUAACGUGGGCUAUAGACGUGCCACAUAUGCCUGUACAAAGGGAUGCUGAUAUUGGAAA